rnacentral:rRNA from 1 species
AUUGAACGCUGGCGGCAGGCCUAACACAUGCAAGUCGAGCGGUAACACAGGGAGCUUGCUCCCGGGUGACGAGCGGCGGACGGGUGAGUAAUGUCUGGGAAACUGCCUGAUGGAGGGGGAUAACUACUGGAAACGGUAGCUAAUACCGCAUAACGUCGCAAGACCAAAGAGGGGGACCUUCGGGCCUCUUGCCAUCAGAUGUGCCCAGAUGGGAUUAGCUAGUAGGUGGGGUAAUGGCUCACCUAGGCGACGAUCCCUAGCUGGUCUGAGAGGAUGACAGGCCACACUGGAACUGAGACACGGUCCAGACUCCUACGGGAGGCAGCAGUGGGGAAUAUUGCACAAUGGGCGCAAGCCUGAUGCAGCCAUGCCGCGUGUAUGAAGAAGGCCUUCGGGUUGUAAAGUACUUUCAGCGGGGAGGAAGGUGCUGAGGUUAAUAACCUCAGCAAUUGACGUUACCCGCAGAAGAAGCACCGGCUAACUCCGUGCCAGCCGCCGCGGUAAAAC